UACGGAGGGUCCAAGCGUUAUCCGGAAUCCUUGGGUUUAAAGGGUCCGUAGGCGGUUUUGUAAGUCAGUGGUGAAAGCCCAUCGCUCAACGGUGGAACGGCCAUUGAUACUGCAAGACUUGAAUUAUUAGGAAGUAACUAGAAUAUGUAGUGUAGCGGUGAAAUGCUUAGAUAUUACAUGGAAUACCAAUUGCGAAGGCAGGUUACUACUAAUGGAUUGACGCUGAUGGACGAAAGCGUGGGGAGCGAACAGG
rnacentral:rRNA from 1 species